GAGAUCCCUGCGAAAUGACAGU
rnacentral:miRNA from 1 species